GACGAACGCUGGCGGCGUGCCUAAUACAUGCAAGUCGAACGCUUUUUCUUUCACCGGAGCUUGCUCCACCGAAAGAAAAGGAGUGGCGAACGGGUGAGUAACACGUGGGUAACCUGCCCAUCAGAAGGGGAUAACACUUGGAAACAGGUGCUAAUACCGUAUAACAAUCGAAACCGCAUGGUUUCGGUUUGAAAGGCGCUUUUGCGUCACUGAUGGAUGGACCCGCGGUGCAUUAGCUAGUUGGUGAGGUAACGGCUCACCAAGGCAACGAUGCAUAGCCGACCUGAGAGGGUGAUCGGCCACAUUGGGACUGAGACACGGCCCAAACUCCUACGGGAGGCAGCAGUAGGGAAUCUUCGGCAAUGGACGCAAGUCUGACCGAGCAACGCCGCGUGAGUGAAGAAGGUUUUCGGAUCGUAAAACUCUGUUGUUAGAGAAGAACAAGGAUGAGAGUAGAAUGUUCAUCCCUUGACGGUAUCUAACCAGAAAGCCACGGCUAACUACGUGCCAGCAGCCGCGGUAAUACGUAGGUGGCAAGCGUUGUCCGGAUUUAUUGGGCGUAAAGCGAGCGCAGGCGGUUUCUUAAGUCUGAUGUGAAAGCCCCCGGCUCAACCGGGGAGGGUCAUUGGAAACUGGGAAACUUGAGUGCAGAAGAGGAGAGUGGAAUUCCAUGUGUAGCGGUGAAAUGCGUAGAUAUAUGGAGGAACACCAGUGGCGAAGGCGGCUCUCUGGUCUGUAACUGACGCUGAGGCUCGAA
rnacentral:rRNA from 1 species